UGAGGAAUAUUGCACAAUGGGCGCAAGCCUGAUGCAGCAACGCCGCGUGCGGGACGAAGGCCUUCGGGUCGUAAACCGCUUUUCUGGGGGAAGAGCAAGGACGGUACCUCAGGAAUAAGUCUCGGCUAACUACGUGCCAGCAGCCGCGGUAAAACGUAGGAGGCGAGCGUUAUCCGGAUUUACUGGGCGUAAAGCGCACGCAGGCGGCUCUGUUAGUCGGACGUGAAAGCUCUCGGCUUAACCGGGAGAGGCCGUUCGAUACUGCGGGGCUUGGGGUAGGGAGAGGAAUGCGGAAUUCCCGGUGUAGUGGUGGAAUGCGUAGAUAUCGGGAGGAACACCUGUGGCGAAAGCGGCAUUCGGGCCCUCACCUGACGCUGAGGUGCGAAAGCGUGGGUAGCAAACA
rnacentral:rRNA from 1 species